GAGAAUAUAGCUCAGCUGGAUAGAGCAUCAGUUUGCGGAACUGAGGGUCGCUGGUUCGAAUCCAGUUAUUCUCG
rnacentral:tRNA from 1 species